rnacentral:rRNA from 1 species
AUUGAACGCUGGCGGCAUGCCUAACACAUGCAAGUCGAACGAGUGGCGGACGGGUGAGUAAUGCCUGGGAAACUGCCUGAUAGAGGGGGAUAACUACUGGAAAGGGUAGCUAAUACCGCAUACUAUCAGAUGUGCCCAGAUGGGAUUAGCUGGUUGGUGGGGUAACGGCUCACCAAGGCGACGAUCCCUAGCUGGUCUGAGAGGAUGACCCGCCACACGGGAACUGAGACACGGUCCAGACUCCUACGGGAGGCAGCAGUGGGGAAUAUUGCACAAUGGGCGCAAGCCUGAUCCAGCCAUGCCGCGUGUCUGAAGAAGGCCUUCGGGUUGUAAAGGACUUUCGGCAGGGAAGCGGUACCUGCAGAAUAAGCACCGGCUAACUCCGUGCCAGCAGCCGCGGUAAUAC